AUUGAACGCUGGCGGCAUGCUUUACACAUGCAAGUCGAACGGUAACAGGCCUUCGGGUGCUGACGAGUGGCGAACGGGUGAGUAAUGCAUCGGAACGUACCCAGAGGUGGGGGAUAACGCAGCGAAAGCUGUGCCAAUACCGCAUGUGAUCUGAGGAUGAAAGCGGGGGACCGAGCAGCAAUGUUUGGCCUCGCGCCUUUGGAGCGGCCGAUGUCGGAUUAGCUAGUUGGUGGGGUAAAGGCCUACCAAGGCGACGAUCCGUAGCUGGUCUGAGAGGACGACCAGCCACACUGGGACUGAGACACGGCCCAGACUCCUACGGGAGGCAGCAGUGGGGAAUUUUGGACAAUGGGCGCAAGCCUGAUCCAGCGAUGCCGCGUGCGGGAAGAAGGCCUUCGGGUUGUAAACCGCUUUUGGCAGGAACGAAACGGUGUCCGCUAAUACCGGGCGCUAAUGACGGUACCUGCAGAAUAAGCACCGGCUAACUACGUG
rnacentral:rRNA from 1 species